GUCACAUUAUUAGAUCUGCAUGGAACAAUUUCAGUUAUAUGUUGAUAAAAUAUUAUAUACAACAUUGGGUCAUAUAGUUACUGGUUUGUCCUCUCUGCAGCCAUGCUCAAAGCAACCUGAGGUCUAAUACACAACUAAAAUGAGGGAAUUUUACAGGUGCCUCACAACUCUGGUACAGAAAUCCCGAGGACUAGGAAGACGCCUGACAACUCAGUGAUAGAAAUCAUAAUUUUUUAUGAUGAGAGUAGUAAUAUCGAUAGCCCACCAUGUACAUCAAAUAGUGAACGCCCAGAUAUCACAAUUGAUAAUAUGGAUGUGGUGCUAGUUAACAACAGUGCUGAAUUUGAGGUGCCUAGUACUCCAGUGGUUUCUGGUGCAUAUUCCACUACACCAAAAGUUCGGAAGAUGAGAAAGAGUGAUAGUAAUCCCUUACUAAAUACAGUACUGGAGAACUUAAACUCAAAAUUAACCCAAAAGGCAUUAGACCCAUCUCCACAUGAUGCUUUGGGACACUUCAUUGUUGAAGAGUUGUCCAGAAUAAGAAAUCCAAUGACUGUGAGAGACACAAAACAUAAGAUACUGAAAUUUAUCAUGGAAGCUCAAAUAAUGGAUGAUAAUUGUUGAAUUGUAUGCAUUAGUGUUUAUUACUUUGAAAAUACA